UUCUGACCCUAACAUCUAUGAAACUAUGAAAUACCUUCAAUUAGGGAAUUGGAUGAGUGGGGAUGUUUCAAAGCCUGAAUUAUGCUUAAAAAACAUCCUAACAUUUUGGUUGUGAUAAGUUAAGUGGGAUGGUGAUAAUACUAUUAUUUAUAUUCAUAGUAACCCAUUGAGGACUUAGUAAUACAAGGCUUAUACACCCAUUUAAAAGAAGAGAGACUGGCUAACAGAGAGGUUAGGCCAUCUCUAUAUGACCUCCAGACUGUGGAAGGGGGAUACCUGUGUGCUAAACCUUGAAAUAGAUAUAAUAUAGCUGUGUUACAAUACUCCUGGGCACGUAUGUAGUUCUCAGAGAAUGCCCCUGUGCCUGUGAGAUCACUUGUACUAAAAGGCAUGCUUUCUCAGGGGACCACUAGUGAUGAGUCCAUUACCAUCUUGCGCUUCUACUGAGGUGGAUGAUUCUGCUGUGCUUUGCUGGGGCAAGGUGUAGAUAUGCUCUUGUAAAUGGCCUAAUAUAUGUAUUAGAUGUAGAAACUGAGGCUAGGUACAGACAUUCAAAAAGCCUGAGGUGGAAUCAAUCAAAGUUUACUCAGUUUUCUGUAAGCAAUGUAGCUUAGAUCAGUAGUGAACAGAACACACGUUUCCAUUUUGGGGGGGGGGAAGGGGGAGAACGGGACGGGACAAAUCUUAAAUUGGGUUCUACCAUUUUUAAACCAGUAUAUAUGUGCUGAACUUCUGUUCUGUUGUGGGUAAGGACUGGUUUUGUGUCUCGAACUUUCAUUCUGUUACAGGUAUAGACCUGUUUCCAUCUACGUAUACCGGUAAAAGUGUAAUGUCUGUACCUGGCCUCAUUGCCCAUCUCCUGUAGCUCAGUCCUGUGCUUUAGCCAUGCGAUCAUUUAUAUUAACUGCAAAGAACCUGAACUCUGCCAGUCCCACUCUGUACAGAAGAUCAGCACAAAGUUUAUGCUUUGUUCUGUGGGCUUGUUCUGUGGGCUCACCUAGCACAUAGGUGAAUAGGCCCCAAACCACUGCAGCAUUCUCUCUACAUGCUACUCCCAUUAACGUUAAUGAAUGCCAUUCACAAACUUUGAAGGAGAUUAGGGAAGGACAAUAAUUUCCUCAUCUGUCAUUUUAGCUGGAAAGCUCAAUUUGUAUUGUGUACAAACAUAAUAUACGUGGUUUAGCAAAUUAAGAGAAACAAUAUUUUACCCAUUCGGCACUUAGAAAGAGCCAGUCUGCCUUCAAAACUGAGAUUACAGUGUGAUACUUGCUCUUUGUGUAUGCAAAAACAUUUCAUUUUAAUUGAUGCUUGUUGCAGUAGCUAGUGAUAAUAUUUUACAGGGAUGAGGUCUGGUGAUGCUUGUUAAAUAGGAGAUUGGAAAGUGAAGUAAAUAUUUUAAUUAGUAAUUGAUGUCUGAGAGCUGCAGCUGCUCCAGUGGGUUUGUUUAUAAUAAAACAGCUGGUAAGUCCCAGUAUCGUGAGGGGUCUUGUGCCCUCCAUUCUCUUUGAAGUCACUGGGAGCUGUGGGUGCUCAGCACCUCAAAUGCUAGUGCCAAUGUCAAUGGAAAAUGCUUUGUGUGCUGUUGUAUUAUUCAUCACUAGGGCUAGGGACAGAAGUUACAUAUAAACCAGUUUAAGUGAUCAGAAACUGGUUUAAACCUGCAACAGAACAGAAGCUCAGUGCACAUAAACCAGUUUCAAAAUGGCUGAAACUGGUUUAAGAUAAACCUGAUUGAGUGUAAUAUCAGACUUAACUGAUUUAGGUCAAACUGAUUUAUGAAACUUCUGGUCCACCUUUCUCAUUCAGGUUAAAUCACAAUCCUUUAGCAUCCCAGCAUACUUUUCAGCUCUGGGCUGGGCUGUGCAAUCUGCUCCAGAGAGCAGGGCUGGCCCUGCACCUCUGCUCCCUAGCCAGAGCAGUGAGGGCUAGCUGAUGGGUGGAGAAGUGGGGCAAGCCCAGCUGGGGAUGCCGCCCAGUCUGCAGGGGAAAUUGCCUCCCCCCACCAGGAAAGCUCCAGCUGAGGUCUGGGGCCAGGGAGGGGGGUUAAACACCCUUUCCCCUCUCAAGCUUACUGCGUGCUGACUGCAACUGUAGACUACAAAUCCCAGAGGCACCUGGAAGCAGGAAGGGGAAGUGAUGAGCAAUCCUGCAGAGUCCUGCUGCUGUAAUUCUGGACUACAAAUUCCAAAAACCUCAACAGCAGCAGGAAAAGGAAGUGAACAUAGCCAGAGAGCUGUGCUCUAGUGCCUCUCCUCCCCCAGCUUCUGGCCUGAUCCACUGUAGGCAUAUGGCUUCAUUUCCUGUAUCAAAGGCAGACAUCUAGCCCUAUUGAAACCUGUGGACUACCAGGGGCAUGACUAAGUGUUCAGCUGGAUCAGCACCACCGAUUACUCACACUUUGUAGAACUGAGCCCCAGAAAAUGGAAGACAGUGAUGAUGCUCACCAGUUCGUUUCAUCCCAGGGUGUUCCUGCUAUGCCUCAUGUCUGCAGUCUCCUCAUCCAUAUAACUCCCUCAUUUCCAUGGUCCCCCACAACUGCAGGAUGCAGUAAAGAGGGGUGAAUACCAGUGUACUGACCUUGAGGUGGGCUCCUCUGUUACAAUAUCACAUGGGGUAUUACUUCAGAUGUAGAUCUUCUUAUAUACUGGAUCCCAUUCAUUAUCAGGGACACUUUUCAUCUGUUAAAUACAAAUUGAAUACGCUGUACAUUAUUCCUUGAUCAACAUGGUGGAGACUUUCAUGUCAGUACAGGGGAUUUCAACACAUCGUUUCCAUUACUUUUAAUGGAAAAUGUGUGGCUGCAACUCUUGCCCUGCAUUAAAAAAUGCCAACUCUGUUGGAAAAUGUGUUGUAAGGAUGGGAUAUAGGGGGACACUUAGAGUAGGUGGUGAUCAAGAGGGCAGAGAGAGACAGCAGAAGGAAAUCCUUGCCACUAAAGUGCAAAUCCACCCUGCCUUCUACUCCUUUGCGUAGUCCGACUAAACACCACCUGGAGCUCAUCCUGGAGAGCCCUGGGAAGGUGUAAUAGGCAAGCCCUGGAGUGGUAGACAGGACAUGUGUUGUGUUUCUUUCUCUGCCACUGACCUACUGUGUGACCUUGAGCAAGUCAUUGAUCUGUGCCCCUGUUUUCUUUCAGCUGCAGAAUCUGUAUUAUCUAUUUAUAUCAUAAGCUUCUUGGUGCCUGCCUCUUACAUGGUGUUUAUAGAGAGGCUAGUGUAAUGUAGCUCCAAUUCCGGUUGGAGCACUUCAAUGUUACUGUAAUUCAAAUAAUUAAUAGUAAUAUGAAUAAGUAGGGGUUUUUUUCCAGGACAAAGGAGGCCUGGGGAGUUUAUUGUAAGCUUAGCAAUCUAUUUUGUUUGUGUGAUAAACUAAAUGAAUUGAGACAUUAAUAUUGCCUUAACUGGUGAUGUCCUAGAUAUAUAUUGUGUUCACUAGAAAUGCAUUAAGAACCAUCUUCCAUGUGAAGUUAAUGAAGUUUUUUAUAUGCAAACUAAGGAACUCCAAUUGUAGGGGAACCUCAGUCCCUGCACCUGCUUUGAAAAACCCAGGAGCCCAAAUUAAAUUGUCUCCCCCCACCAUAUUAAGUGUUGUGAUGUCAAAUGAUGCAAUAAAGAAAAUAUUAACAUAAAAAAACUUAGGUCUCUGCAUGAGAAAAGAAGAUGCGGCAGAUGGCCCAUAAAAACUCAGUCAGCCCUUCUGCAAAAAUGGAAGAACAGGAAUCUUCCUAAAAAAUUAAGAUGCCCCAACCUGAAGCAGUAACUGUGUUUAGCCAUUUUGGGUGAAUAAA